UGGCCCCGUAGGUGAAGGACACCCGCGAGUACGGGUCGCCCGGCUGCUUGUUCGUGCUGAAGUUGCUGAUCGUGCCGGCCGGGUCGG
rnacentral:tRNA from 1 species